GACGAACGCUGGCGGCGUGCUUAACACAUGCGAGUCGUACGGUAAGGCCCUUUCGGGGGUACACGAGUGGCGCACGGGUGAGUAACACGUGAGUAACCUGCCCACAACUUUGGGAUAACGCUAGGAAACUGGUGCUAAUACUGGAUAUGUGCUCCUGCUGCAUGGUGGGGGUUGGAAAGCUCCGGCGGUUGUGGAUGGACUCGCGGCCUAUCAGCUUGUUGGUGGGGUAGUGGCCUACAAAGGCGGCGACGGGUAGCCGGCCUGAGAGGGUGACCGGCCACAUUGGGACUGAGAUACGGCCCAGACUCCUACGGGAGGCAGCAGUGGGGAAUAUUGCACAAUGGGCGCAAGCCUGAUGCAGCAACGCCGCGUGCGGGAGGACGGCCUUCGGGUUGUAAACCGCUUUCAGCAGGGACGAAGCUUUUUGUGACGGUACCUGCAGAAGAAGCACCGGCUAACUACGUG
rnacentral:rRNA from 1 species